GUGCAGGAGUAAAGUUUCUUUUGGUCUAAUAAGGUUAAUAUGAGAUUGAAGUUCGACUUUUGAAUGAAGUGUUCUUGUCCUUCUUUGGAUGAAAUAAGUAAUGAAAUGUUAAGAUGGACAGAGAUGGGGCACCUAUUUGAUUUUCUUCACAGUUCUGGCUUUGGCUUGGACAUGAAGUUGGUUAUAUUUGGACAUUUUCAUUGGUAGAAGGUAGAGUAUUAAAAGUUUUUGAAGGAUUAGUGGAGAAACUUGUAAGCCUAAUAUGUGUAUUUAAAGGAACCAAGAAAAGAGGCCUAAUAGGUUGCCAUCUUUUGAAGAAAGGAUUAUCAAAUUGGAUCAAGUGUUGAAGCAGUAGGAAAGGAGGAAAAGAGAAAGUGGAAAGGGGGAAAUAUUGAAGUAAGAAAGUAGAAGAAGAAAAUACCAAAAUUGAAGAUAGGAAAAAAACAUGAAAAGUGAGAAGGCUGUGAUGAUUAUUGAUUUAGCUUUUAGAAGAGUUCGUACCAAAAAGUUUGUAUUACCCAUCAUUACCUAGAGCCGGACUAGGGUAUGAUGGGAAAUAAAUACUUUUUGGUAGCAUUCGCUCCUAAAAACUAAGCCAAUAAUCAUCACCGCUUUUAUCAAAUUUCUUGUUUUUUUCUUGUAUUUUAAUUUGGUAUUUUCUUUUUCUACUUUCUUACUUUGACUAACGGUGAGAUUAGCCUAAUGGAUUAAAUUUUUAUUUAAGGGAUGGGGUGAGUGCUCAUAUCUCUUUGCCAUUGUUUUGAGAAAUGAUUAUCAACUUGAAUUAGUGUUGAAAUAGUGCACUAAGAGUCAGAUUAGCCAAUUGGAUCAAGGUUUUAUUUAUAAGCUCUAUGGUGAUUUUUCGUUGAUAUGAAUAUAGCGAAAAGUCAUUUGGCUAAUGAAAUGAUAUUGAAAAAAGACAACAUGGAGGGACUAUAGACGACACAAAAAGAAAAGUUAGAAUAUAAGGAGGCUGGCUGUUAAGAAGAAAUCUGACUCAACGAGGUUUGAAAAUCUAAUAUUUCCUCAUUAUUAGGUAAUCUUCUGAAACAGAUGGACCAAGAGUUGGUUGAAGAGUCCUAGUGAUCUAAAACAGUUAUGGUUUUGAGGGAUCCACAAGAUUUUUUUAUAAAUGCAAGAGAAACUCAUUUUCCUAAAGGGAGUAAUUGGACAGAUCUUGGAAGGGGUUUUGAGAGAAUUAUAAACAAAGAAGGAAGACAUUAGAAUAAAAGUUAUUUGGGUAGUUGGACCCAAAGAAGUAUAAAAUUGGAUGGAGAGUUGUGAACAAGGAAAAGCUUUGAUGUUUUUUGGAUUUGGCAACAACUUGCCACCAUGUUUAUACGACAAGAUAAUGUUAGAGAUUGCAAAAUGAAAAAGGGUAGAGAAGAAACAUGGAGUGCGGUGGAUGAUGGAGUAAUUCAUCAAAAAAACUUUCAAGUAAGUGAAACUCUAAAAUAAAUAGUUUUUGGGUUAAUUGGUGCAAGAGAAAGGUCCUAUUGGUCUAAUAAGGUAGACUAGUAUGAGAUUGAACUUCAAUUUUUGAAAGAAUAGUUAUUGGCUUUCUUUGGAUGAAAUAAGUUUUGAAAUGUUAAGAUGGACAGAGAUAAGGCAUCCGUUUGGUUUUCGCAGUUGUGGCUUUCGCUUGGACAUGAAGUUUGUUAUAUUUGGAGAUUCAUUGGCACAAGGUUUUGAGUAUUAAAAGUUUUAAAGGAUUAGUGGAGAAGCGUAUAAGCCUAAUAGGUGUAUUUAAAGGAACCUAGAAAAAGAGGUAUGAAGGUUUUUAAUUAAAAGAAGUACUUGAAUGAAAGUUCUUUGGGUAAUUGGCGCUAAUUCAAAGUUCAAUUCUGUUGGUUAUAAGUUAGAUAACGGGCAAUCUUAUGGAAUUGCUGAGUUUAUUAGGUAUUGAAGAAGGCAAAGAGAUAAGUUUGUAUAAGGCCAUGGUUAUCCGUAAGGAGAUGGGAAGAUAAGUGUGAAUAAAGGAGUUUCAUACUAAAGUAUCAAAUUUUGGACUUCCAAGUUUUUGAUAGAAUUCUUGCCAUUUUUGUGAAGAAAGAUUAGCAAAUUCACUAAAGUGCUAAUAUAAUGGACAAACUAAGAUACUUUAUUUCAGUAGCUGACAAUUUGACCGUGGAAAUUGAUCUAAGUCCAAACAUUAACAGUAUAGUAUAUAAUUAAAAAUGAAAUGGUCAAAUGUGAGAUUCGUUGGUAUAUGGUUUCUAGGGUUCUACAAGAUUGUCUGACAAAAUGCAAGAGAAACUCAUUUUCUGAAAAGGAGUAAUUGGACCGAUCAUGAAAAGAGUUUUCAGAUCAUUCUAAACAAAGAAAGGAGACAUUAGAAUAAAAGGUAUUUGAGUAAUUGGAACCAAAGAAGUAUAAAAUUGGAUGAAGAGUUUAAGAAGAUGGAAAAGCUUUGGUACUUUUUAGGAUUGGCAACUACUUGCCAUGAUGUUUUAUACGAGAAGAUAACAUUAGAGAUUGUGAAUUUAAAGAGGGGAGAAAAGACACAAAGAGUGUGGUGGAUGAUGGAGUAAUUCAUUGGAAGAGUUUCAUGUAAAUGAAACCUAAACAUAAAAUGGGUUUGGGUUUAUUGGUGCAAGAGAAAAGUUCCUAUCGGUCUAAUAAAGUAGAUUAGUAUGAGAUUGAAGUUCAACUUUUGAAUGAAGAGUUCUUGUCUUUUUUUGGACAAAAUAAGUGAUGAAAUGACGGACAAAGAUGAGGCAUCCGUUUAGUUUUUGCAAUUGUGGCUUUGGCUUGGACAUGAAGUUUGUAUAUUUGGAGAUUCGCAUUGGCAUAGGUUAAAGUAUUAAAAGUUUUUUAAGGAUUAGUGGAGAAAGUUGUAAAGCCUAAUAGGUGUAUUUAAGGGAACCAAGAAAAGAGGCCUAAUAGGUUGCCAUCUUUUGGAGAAAGGAUUAUCAAAUUGGAUCAAGUGUCGAGGCCGUAAAGAGAAAGUGGAAAGGGGAAAUGCCAAUGUAAGAAAGUGGAAAAAGAAAAUAUCAAAAUUAAAGAUAGGAAAAAAACAUGAAAAGUGAGAAGUCUGUGAUGAUUAUUGAUUUAGCGUUUAGAAGAGUUCGUACCAAGAAGUUUGUAUUACCCAUCAUUACCCUAGAGCCGGACUAGGGUAUGAUGGGUACUAAAUACUUUUUUGUAGCAUUCGCUGCUAAAAACUAAGCCAAUAAUCAUCACCGCUUUUAACACAUUUCUUGUUUUUUCUUGUAUUUUAAUUUGUUUUUUCUUUUUCUACUUUCUUACUUUGACUAAUGGUGAGAUUAGCCAAAUGGAUAAAAUUUUUAUUUAAGGGAUGAGGUGAGUUCUCUUUGCCAUUGUUUUGAGAAAUGAUUAUCAACUUGAAUUAGUGUUGAAAUAGUGCACUAAGAGUCAUAUUAGCCAAUUGGAUCAAGGUUUUAUUUAAGCUCUAUGGUAAUUUUUCGUUGAUAUGAAUAUAGCGAAAAGUCAUUUGCUAAUGAAAUGAUAUUGAAAAAAGACACAUGGAGGACUAUAGACGACACACAAAAGAAAAGUUAGAAUAUAAGAGUUUUGGAUUGAAGUGUGACGUUGAGAUUCAAGUUUUGGAUUAAAGAACUCUAGCCAAUUGUUUUGAGAAAGAAAUAUCAAAAUGGAUUUGUGCUGAGAUUAUGCAUUUAAAUUGUGAAUAGAUUAAGUUUUUGUUUAACGAAUUUGGUGAUUUCCAAUGGACAUGGUUGUUGGAAAAAAAAGUUGGCUAUACUAAAGUAAAUUGUAAAAAGAACAUGGAGGACUAUAAUCGACACAAAUAUAGAAGUGUGGAUUUAUUUAACAAAUUUGGUGAUUUCCAUGGAUAUGGUUAUUGGAAAAAGAAAAGUUUGCUGAACUAAUGUAAUUGGCAAAAAGAACGUGGAGGACCAGAAAUGGCACAAAUAGAGAAGUAAGGAUAUUUGAGUUUUGGAUUGUUAAGUGUUAUUCAAUUUUAACUUUUGGAAUGAAUAACCAUUGUUUCGAGAAAAGAUUAUCAGAAUGAAUUAAGAGUUAAAGAUAGUGCACUAAGAGAAGAUUAGCCAAUUGGAUUAAGUUUUUAUUUAACGAAUUUGGUGAUUUGUUGUUGACAUGAUUAUUGGAACAAGAAAAGUUGGCUAUACUAAUGUAAUUGGUAUAAAGAACAUGAAGGACCAUAAAAGGCACAAAUAUAGAAGUAAGGAUAUUUGAUUUUUUGAUUGAUGUGUGACAUUCAACUUUUAACUUUUUGAAUGAAGAGCCAAUGUUUUGAAAACAGAUUACUUGUUUUGAAAACAGAUUACCAUAAUGGAUUUAGAGUUAAGAUAGUGCACUACGAGAAAGAUUAGCCAUUUGGAUUUAGGAUUUUGUUUAAGGAAUUUGGUGAUUUGCCAUGGAUAUGGUUAGUGAAGAAGAAAUGUUGGCUAUACUAAUAUAAUUGGUAAAAAGAACAUGGAGGACUAAAAGGAAACAAAUAAAGAAGUAAGGAUAUUUGAGUUUGGAUUGAAGUGUGGCAUUUGGACUAACUUUUUGGAAUGAAGAGCCAAUGCUUGGAGAAAGGAUUACGAUGAAUUAAGUGUUAAAAUAGUUCGAUAUUUGAGUUUUGAUUGAAGUGUGGCAUUUGGACUUUUAACUUUGGAAUGAAGAGCCAAUGCUUGGAGAAGGAUUACGAUGAAUUAAGUGUUAAAAUAGUUCCUUAAUUGUAAGAUUAGUCAAUUGGAUUAUAUAGAUCACCAAGUUGUGUUCGUAUUGUAUGGAUAUAAACUUCAACGAUUGCAGUAAGGAAUAGAUCAAUUUCAGAAUGAAAAGUACGAAAAACAAGAAGAGAAUUAAAAGAACUAUCCUCUCUGCUUUUGGUUAAUUUGUGCAAGAGAAAGGUCCCAUUGGUGUAAUAAGGUGUCGGAUGAGAUUGAACUUAAAUUUUGAAUGAAGAGUUAUUUGCUUUCUUUGGAUGAAAUAAGUUACGAAAUGUUAAGAUGGACAGAGAUAAGGUAUCCAUUUGGUUUUCGGAGUAGUGGCUUUCGCUUGGACAUGAAGUUUGUUAUAUUUGUGGAGAUUCAUUGGCACAAGGUUUUGGAGUAUUAAAAGUUUUGAAGGAUUGGUGGAGAAGCGUAUAAGCCUAAUAGGUGUAUCUAAUGGAACCAAAAAAAGAAGUAUGGAGGUUUUUAAUUAAAGGAAGUACUUGAAUGAAAGAUCUUUGGGUAAUUAACGCUAAUGCUGGUUCGAUUCUGUUUAUUAUAAGCUGAUUACGGGCAAUCUAUGGAAUUGCUUAGUUUGUUAGGUAUUGAAGAAGGCAGGAAGAUAAGUUUGUAUAAGGCCAUGAUUAUGUAAGGAGAUGGGAAGAUAAGUUUGAAUAAAGGAAUUUAUACUAAAUAUAAAAAGAACAUGGAGGACUAUAAAUGGGACAAAUAGAGAAGUAAGGAUAUUUGAGUUUUGCAUUUAAGUGUGGCAUUGGACUUCAACUUUUGGAAUGAAGAGCCAAUGUUCAGAGAAAAGAUUAUCAAAAUGGAUUAAGAGUUAAGAUAGUGCACUAAGAGAAAUAUUAGCCAAUUGAAUUAAGUUUUAAUUAAACGAAUUUGGUGAUUUGCCAUGUACAUGGUUAUUGGAAAAGAAAACUGGGCCAUACUAUUGCAAUAUUGGUAAAAAAGAACAUAGAAGAUCAUAAAUGACACAAAUAGAGAAGUAAGGACAUUUGAUUUUUGGAUUGAAGUGUGACAUUGGCUUUUAACUUUUGGAAUGAAGAGUCAAUGUUUAGAGAAAAGAUUAUCAUAAUGGAUUAAGAGUUAAGAUAGUGCACUAAGAGAAAGACUAGCCAAUUGGAUUUUUAGUUUUUAUUUAACAAAUUUGGUGAUUUCCCAUGGACGUGGUUAUUGGAAAAAGAAAAGUUGGCUAUACUAAUGUAAUUGGUAAAAAUAAAUGGAGGACUAUAAAUGGCACAAAUAGAGAAGUCAAGAUAUUUGAGUUUUGAAUUGAAGUGUGACAUUCGACUUGAACAUUUCAGUGGUUUUGUUAGAAGUUUAAUGACUGAAUAGCUUUGCUUCGUAGUCGUAGGAAAUUGUUUGUUUAUGAUAAACUACCUAGGAUUAUUUUAUACAUAUACAGAACUGUUUUAAAUAUUGCUUCAUGGAAUAUCUUUGUUUUGUUUUUAUGUGUUCUUUGUCGAUAUAUAUAUGUGUUUUUGUUUCAAAGAGUAGGUGAGUCAAAUAGUAGGACUGAUUGUAAGACGGGUUGAGAGAUUGAUGAGCAAGGAAUGAAAUUAUAACAUCCUUUAUGUCUUAGUGGUUAGGAAUGGAGCAUUGAACUCUAAUUUUAAAAUAAAUAAUAAAUAUAUAUGUUUUGAGUAUUAAAAGUUUUUGAAGGAUUGUGAAGAAACUUAUAAACUAAUAGGUUUUUUAAAAGAACCAAGAAAAGAGGUCUGAAGGUUUUUAAUUAAAGGAGUACUUGAAUAAAAAUUCUUUCGGGUAAUUGGUGCAAGUGCAAAGAUAGAUUCUGUUGGUUAUAAGCUAGAUAAGGCAAUCUUAUGGAAUUGCUGAGUUUGUUAGGUAUUAAAGAGACCAAAAGAUAAGUUGAAUAAGAGAAUGAUUAUCUUCAAGUAGAUAGGAAGAUAAUUUGAAUAAGGGAAUUUCAAAUAAAAGUACGAUUUCGACUUCAAGUUUUUGAUAGAUUUCUUGCCAUUUUUGGAAGAAAUUAGCAAAUUCACUAAAGUGCUAAUAAAUGGACAAACUAAGAUACUUUAUUUCAGUAGCUGACAAUUGACCGUGGAAAUUGAUCUAAGUCCAAAACAUUAACAGUAUAGUAUAUAAUUAAAAAUGAAAUGGUCAAAUGUGAGAUUCGUUGGUAUAUGGUUUCUAGGGUUCUACAAGAUUGUCUGACAAAAUGCAAGAGAAACUCAUUUUCUGAAAAGGAGUAAUUGGACCGAUCAUGAAAAGAGUUUUCAGAUCAUUCUAAACAAAGAAAGGAGACAUUAGAAUAAAAGGUAUUUGAGUAAUUGGAACCAAAGAAGUAUAAAAUUGGAUGAAGAGUUUAAGAAGAUGGAAAAGCUUUGGUACUUUUUAGGAUUGGCAACUACUUGCCAUGAUGUUUUAUACGAGAAGAUAACAUUAGAGAUUGUGAAUUUAAAGAGGGGAGAAAAGACACAAAGAGUGUGGUGGAUGAUGGAGUAAUUCAUUGGAAGAGUUUCAUGUAAAUGAAACCUAAACAUAAAAUGGGUUUGGGUUUAUUGGUGCAAGAGAAAAGUUCCUAUCGGUCUAAUAAAGUAGAUUAGUAUGAGAUUGAAGUUCAACUUUUGAAUGAAGAGUUCUUGUCUUUUUUUGGACAAAAUAAGUGAUGAAAUGACGGACAAAGAUGAGGCAUCCGUUUAGUUUUUGCAAUUGUGGCUUUGGCUUGGACAUGAAGUUUGUUAUAUUUGGAGAUUCGCAUUGGCAUAGGUUAAAGUAUUAAAAGUUUUUUAAGGAUUAGUGGAGAAAGUUGUAAAGCCUAAUAGGUGUAUUUAAGGAACCAAGAAAAGAGGCCUAAUAGGUUGCCAUCUUUUGGAGAAAGGAUUAUCAAAUUGGAUCAAGUGUCGAGGCCGUAAAGAGAAAGUGGAAAGGGGAAAUGCCAAUGUAAGAAAGUGGAAAAAGAAAAUAUCAAAAUUAAAGAUAGGAAAAAAACAUGAAAAGUGAGAAGUCUGUGAUGAUUAUUGAUUUAGCGUUUAGAAGAGUUCGUACCAAGAAGUUUGUAUUACCCAUCAUUACCCUAGAGCCGGACUAGGGUAUGAUGGGUACUAAAUACUUUUUUGUAGCAUUCGCUGCUAAAAACUAAGCCAAUAAUCAUCACCGCUUUUAACACAUUUCUUGUUUUUUCUUGUAUUUUAAUUUGUUAUUUUCUUUUUCUACUUUCUUACUUUGACUAAUGGUGAGAUUAGCCAAAUGGAUAAAAUUUUUAUUUAAGGGAUGAGGUGAGUUCUCUUUGCCAUUGUUUUGAGAAAUGAUUAUCAACUUGAAUUAGUGUUGAAAUAGUGCACUAAGAGUCAUAUUAGCCAAUUGGAUCAAGGUUUUAUUUAAGCUCUAUGGUAAUUUUUCGUUGAUAUGAAUAUAGCGAAAAGUCAUUUGGCUAAUGAAAUGAUAUUGAAAAAAGACAACAUGGAGGACUAUAGACGACACAAAAAGAAAAGUUAGAAUAUAAGAGUUUUGGAUUGAAGUGUGACGUUGAGAUUCAAGUUUUGGAUUAAAGAACUCUAGCCAAUUGUUUUGAGAAAGAAAUAUCAAAAUGGAUUUGUGCUGAGAUUAUGCAUUUAAAUUGUGAAUAGAUUAAGUUUUUGUUUAACGAAUUUGGUGAUUUCCAAUGGACAUGGUUGUUGGAAAAAAAAGUUGGCUAUACUAAAGUAAAUUGUAAAAAGAACAUGGAGGACUAUAAUCGACACAAAUAUAGAAGUGUGGAUUUAUUUAACAAAUUUGGUGAUUUCCAUGGAUAUGGUUAUUGGAAAAAGAAAAGUUUGCUGAACUAAUGUAAUUGGCAAAAAGAACGUGGAGGACCAGAAAUGGCACAAAUAGAGAAGUAAGGAUAUUUGAGUUUUGGAUUGUUAAGUGUUAUUCAAUUUUAACUUUUGGAAUGAAUAACCAUUGUUUCGAGAAAAGAUUAUCAGAAUGAAUUAAGAGUUAAAGAUAGUGCACUAAGAGGAAGAUUAGCCAAUUGGAUUAAGUUUUUAUUUAACGAAUUUGGUGAUUUGUUGUUGACAUGAUUAUUGGAACAAGAAAAGUUGGCUAUACUAAUGUAAUUGGUAUAAAGAACAUGAAGGACCAUAAAAGGCACAAAUAUAGAAGUAAGGAUAUUUGAUUUUUUGAUUGAUGUGUGACAUUCAACUUUUAACUUUUGGAAUGAAGAGCCAAUGUUUUGAAAACAGAUUACUUGUUUUGAAAACAGAUUACCAUAAUGGAUUUAGAGUUAAGAUAGUGCACUACGAGAAAGAUUAGCCAUUUGGAUUUAGGAUUUUGUUUAAGGAAUUUGGUGAUUUGCCAUGGAUAUGGUUAGUGGAAGAAGAAAUGUUGGCUAUACUAAUAUAAUUGGUAAAAAGAACAUGGAGGACUAUAAAGGAAACAAAUAAAGAAGUAAGGAUAUUUGAGUUUUGGAUUGAAGUGUGGCAUUUGGACUUUAACUUUUGGAAUGAAGAGCCAAUGCUUGGAGAAAGGAUUACGAUGAAUUAAGUGUUAAAAUAGUUCGAUAUUUGAGUUUUGGAUUGAAGUGUGGCAUUUGGACUUUUAACUUUUGGAAUGAAGAGCCAAUGCUUGGAGAAAGGAUUACGAUGAAUUAAGUGUUAAAAUAGUUCCUUAAUUGUAAGAUUAGUCAAUUGGAUUAUGAUAGAUCACCAAGUUGUGUUCGUAUUGUAUGGAUAUAAACUUCAACGAUUGCAGUAAGGAAUAGAUCAAUUUCAGAAUGAAAAGUACGAAAAACCAAGAAGAGAAUUAAAAGAACUAUCCUCUCUGCUUUUGGGUUAAUUUGUGCAAGAGAAAGGUCCCAUUGGUGUAAUAAGGUGUCGGAUGAGAUUGAACUUAAAUUUUUGAAUGAAGAGUUAUUUGCUUUCUUUGGAUGAAAUAAGUUACGAAAUGUUAAGAUGGACAGAGAUAAGGUAUCCAUUUGGUUUUCGGAGUAGUGGCUUUCGCUUGGACAUGAAGUUUGUUAUAUUUGUGGAGAUUCAUUGGCACAAGGUUUUGGAGUAUUAAAAGUUUUGAAGGAUUGGUGGAGAAGCGUAUAAGCCUAAUAGGUGUAUCUAAUGGAACCAAAAAAAGAAGUAUGGAGGUUUUUAAUUAAAGGAAGUACUUGAAUGAAAGAUCUUUGGGUAAUUAACGCUAAUGCUGGUUCGAUUCUGUUUAUUAUAAGCUGAUUACGGGCAAUCUUAUGGAAUUGCUUAGUUUGUUAGGUAUUGAAGAAGGCAGGAAGAUAAGUUUGUAUAAGGCCAUGAUUAUGUAAGGAGAUGGGAAGAUAAGUUUGAAUAAAGGAAUUUUAUACUAAAGUAUAAAAAGAACAUGGAGGACUAUAAAUGGGACAAAUAGAGAAGUAAGGAUAUUUGAGUUUUGCAUUUAAGUGUGGCAUUGGACUUCAACUUUUGGAAUGAAGAGCCAAUGUUCAGAGAAAAGAUUAUCAAAAUGGAUUAAGAGUUAAGAUAGUGCACUAAGAGAAAUAUUAGCCAAUUGAAUUAAGUUUUAAUUAAACGAAUUUGGUGAUUUGCCAUGUACAUGGUUAUUGGAAAAAGAAAACUGGGCCAUACUAUUGCAAUAUUGGUAAAAAGAACAUAGAAGAUCAUAAAUGACACAAAUAGAGAAGUAAGGACAUUUGAUUUUUGGAUUGAAGUGUGACAUUGGCUUUUAACUUUUGGAAUGAAGAGUCAAUGUUUAGAGAAAAGAUUAUCAUAAUGGAUUAAGAGUUAAGAUAGUGCACUAAGAGAAAGACUAG
rnacentral:lncRNA from 1 species